rnacentral:rRNA from 1 species
AUUGAACGCUGGCGGCAUGCCUUACACAUGCAAGUCGAACGGCAGCACGGGAGCUUGCUCCUGGUGGCGAGUGGCGAACGGGUGAGUAAUACAUCGGAACGUACCCAGUAGUGGGGGAUAACGCACCGAAAGGUGCGCUAAUACCGCAUACGACCUACGGGCGAAAGCGGGGGACCGUAAGGCCUCGCGCCAUUGGAGAGGCCGAGGUCUGAUUAGCUAGUUGGCGGGGUAAAAGCCCACCAAGGCGACGAUCAGUAGCUGGUCUGAGAGGACGAUCAGCCACACUGGGACUGAGACACGGCCCAGACUCCUACGGGAGGCAGCAGUGGGGAAUUUUGGACAAUGGGGGCAACCCUGAUCCAGCAAUGCCGCGUGUGCGAAGAAGGCCUUCGGGUUGUAAAGCACUUUUGUCAGGGAAGAAAUCUUUCAGGCUAAUACCCUUGGAAGGAUGACGGUACCUGAAGAAUAAGCACCGGCUAACUACGUGCCAGCCGCCGCCGUAA